UCGAGAGGAUUUUCCUCCCCAUACCCCCGAUACCCCUUCGUCCCCGAGCGCCCCGUCCCCUGUCGAGCGACCCCUGCCCCCGAGAUCCGCCGCCGCCCUACCGCCGGCACCCCCUCCUGGCGCUGCUCCCCUUCUGCGCCGCCGGCCCCCGCCGCCGGGCCCUUCUACGCCGCCCUAUCGCUGCCGACCAUCGCAGCCUCCUAGCGGCGAGCCGGAGCCUCUGCACGGGAGGAGAAGCCCACGACGGCACCUCCUGGCGGCGAGCCGGAGCCUCCUUGCACGAGAGGAGAAGCCCACGACGGCACGUGAAGGAGAAAGCCUCUGCUGCCUCUGCUGGAGAAGGAGCAAGCCUCUACUGCAGCUGGAGAAGGAGCACCGCCCGCCACCUCUGCUGCAGCUGGAGAAGGAGCACCACCCGUCGCCGCCUGAUGACGCAAAUCAAUCAAGCUCUCAAAUCCAAGCUCCAUGCCAGGUCCGUGUCGAUGCUGCUGCUAGGUGCUAGGACCUCGGAGAAUUUCGUUCGUGUGUGUGCUGCGCUUGUACUGGUAGCUGGUAGCUUCUUCUCCGAUGGCUCUCCUCUUAGUACUAGUCUGCUGUUGCAGCAGAGCAACUGAGGUGUUCAAUCACACCUAUCUCUGCUAGUUCUCAGCGGGUAAUGAAAGAGGUGUUUAAUCUAGUUGUAUUCAUUAUUUAUAUAUUCGAAGUUUAGAAAUUAGUACUA